AAGUCGUAACAAGGUCUCCGUUGGUGAACCAGCGGAGGGAUCAUUACCGAGUUAUGAACUCCAAACCCUUGUGAACAUUGCACUGUUGCUUCGGCAGGCGGGCCCAGGGCGGGUCUCCGUCAUGCCUGCCGAAAGACCAAACUCUUCUAUCCUGCCCUCUGAAGAAAAAGACAAAUAGUUAAAA
rnacentral:misc_RNA from 1 species